GGCUUGGUGGCGCUGGUGUUCGUGACUUUGCAAAUGUCGUCCUCUAACGUUCGAUUUUGAACAUGGCAGUUAUUUUUCCUCAUUUCUCCUGCGUGUGUAGACACAGCUGAGGUCCUCCUGUUUGAUGGCGAGUCGCUCCGGAGUCAGAGCCUCUCGGUUGGGUCCGACCUUGCCCGUCUGGAUUGGAGCCUUCUCACAAAUGUCACUUUGGACCAAUCUCAAAGGUGGCGACUUUCCCAGGGACUGCACUACGUGCACGGUAUGCAAUGAGGUGGCGAUUUGUCCAGGGUGUACCCCGCCUACUGCCCGAAUGCAGCUGAUAUAGGCUCCAGCACCCCCCGCCACACCGAGAAGGGACAAGCGGUAGAAAAUGGAUGGAUGGA